UCCAACGGAGGCGACACGUCAAGAAAUGUACGGUCCUACCAGCAAGCAUGCACGCGAAGAACGUUCCCAUCGGAUAGCUAAUUUCUAUUUUAACAAGAGGAUGAGCCUGCCUUCUUCCAGCCACUGCAGCCAGGAGUUGUCACCUGAAAUCUUAGCUAAGGCGCGGGAUGAUUGGUUUGGGAGAAUUUUUGGUAGGACUUACUCUCUGGUUUCACUCUGUAUAAGCAUUGAACGUUGUACCUAACCUUCUGCUCAC